rnacentral:tRNA from 1 species
GCUCAGUUGGUAAAGCACAAGGCUCUUAACCUUGCGGAUGUGGAUUCAAGCCCCAU